AGUUAAUGAACUUGUAAAAGUAUAUAUUUUGAAAAUAUAAAAAAGAAAUUUUAUUUUUCUAUUAACUU
rnacentral:tRNA from 1 species